rnacentral:rRNA from 1 species
UACGUAGGGUGCGAGCGUUGUCCGGAAUUAUUGGGCGUAAAGAGCUCGUAGGCGGUUUGUCGCGUCGACUGUGAAAACCCGAGGCUUAACCUCGGGCCUGCAGUCGAUACGGGCAGACUAGAGUUCGGUAGGGGAGACGUGGAAUUCCUGGUGUAGCGGUGAAAUGCGCAGAUAUCAGGAGGAACACCGGUGGCGAAGGCGGGUCUCUGGGCCGAUACUGACGCUGAGGAGCGAAAGCGUGGGGAGCGAACAGG